CACACACACACACACACACACACACACACACACACACACACAAGGUGAGCACACACACACAGAAGAAUAUCCACAGGCAGAUGGUCCUUUUAUAUGGCCCUCAAAACGCACACACUCUUUCAGGUUACACUGUAUUUUGUAUAUCUUCCCAACAAAAACUGAAGAGCCAAGUUUGUUUUUAGCAACCUCACAUCAACCACACACACACACACACCCCUGGGCCUUAGCUCUUGAACUCAGUUUUUAUAGAACACAUAACAACAUGCUAAAACUGUGUGUCUGCUCACAGUAGCCACAUUUACAUGGACACUUUUUGUCGUGUUGUCAUGUGUGUAACUAGCCAGAGGUCAGCUGAAUCAAAUGGCCAUUGGCCUGCCCAUCUCUCUGCUGCUGCCGGGCCUGAGCAUGUGAUGGCCUGAUCAGAGGAAACGAGCUCCGUCACACUCAACUGUGACCCACCCCGCAUGGAGCACCAAGUCCGAGACCCCACAGAGAGCCAAUGAGGUUGCAGCAGCCAAGUCAUAGACACCACAGAGAGCCAAUGAGGUUGCAGCAGCCAAGUCAUAGACACCACAGAGAGCCAAUGAGGUUGCGGAGCCCAAAUCAGAGACACCACAGAGAGCCAAUGAGGUUGCAGCAGCCAAAUCAGAGACACCACAGAGAGCCAAUGAGGUUGCGGAGCCCAAAUCAGAGACACCACAGAGAGCCAAUGAGGUUGCGGAACCCAAAUCAGAGACACCACAGAGAGCCAAUGAGGUUGUGGCAACCAGUCAGAGAGCCAAUGAGGUUGCAGCAGCCAGUGAGGGUGACACCUGUGACUUGGCUCUGUUCAGGGUCUCAUCCUGUUCCUGCCCCCUGUUUCCUGUUUCCAGCGCUGAGCCCAGCCCAGUGUCAUCACUUCCUGCUGAUGGGGAUCAUGGUGGACAAUGGGAAAGCAUGUCCUGUUUGGCCUCACUAACCUAGUCAGCAUUCUCUAGUGACCCUACGCAUCUUACGCAACGCCAGUCUGACUGACCCCAAAGGAAUUUUGCUCUGUGUUCCACUAAAUGACAGGCGUCAUAUUCUUUGUGUUCAGCGUUUACCGUAUCAAAUGAAGAAUAUGCCCUGUGAGCCAUUUCAGCCCUGUUAUCUGACUAUUACUUUUACUCUGGAGUACAAAAGCUCCCAUAGAAAUACUACUGGUGACCUUCUGUGUGGCCUUUGUGGAGAGUGGGUGACCUGGCCCUGUGUGUGUGUGUGUGUGUGUGUGUGUGUGUGACCUCUGCUGUUCUGGCCCUGAUGAUAAAGUGUAGGCAGCUCUCAGGCUCCCGGAUGCGCCGUGACCUUGUUUACGUUAAAGUGCUCCACAGCUGCAGAACAGCACGGCGCUCAGCAGCUUGUCAGCGUCCAACUCCAGAACGUUCCUCUGCCCAGCUCCUCCUGCUGCUGCUGCUGUUUGGGGUUACACAACCGCCCGCGCGGCCGAUCUGGGUCAGUGAGCCUGCUGCCGUGCGCUACAGCUCUGUGGCACACACUGGACACAUGGACAGCAGCCCAUAUGUUAUCCCUGUGUGUGUGUGUGUGAUGGGCUUGACAGCUUUAGUUAUGCACUGUGUCAUGAGUUGCUUCUUAAUCUCCGUUUUAAAAAAACGUGUCACUUUGUUAUGUUAUCUUAAUCCUUGUGUGUGUGAUGGUCUUGACAGAUUUAGUUACGCACUGUGUCAUGAGUUGCUUCUUAAUAUCCGUUUUAAAAAAACGUCCCUUUUAAUGUGUUUUUUGGGCAUGUUGCAACCUACUGUACCAUUGUUUUAAUUCAUCUCUUAAUCCCUAAUCCAAGGCCCUGUUGCUGGCCCGUAAUCAGAGACUAGAGUGUUCUAGUAGUAGUGAUGAUGCAACCUCAAGGCCACAAUCUCCACUGUUGCACUGUUGGGGAGAUCAUAUGAGUCAGAGUGGGAGUCAUGAUGAUGAAUGAAGAUACCUGAAAAAGA